AAGAAUUUAAAGAGUGCACUUCAUUGUGGCUCGACAUUUUCUACCAUUCACCCUAGUGCAACCGUAAUACCUUUUUUAUUAGACUCUACAAAGUUAAUGAAUGUAACACUUUUUUAUAAAGAAAUA
rnacentral:misc_RNA from 1 species